rnacentral:rRNA from 1 species
GAUCUGGCUCAGGAUGAACGCUGGCGGCGUGCUUAACACAUGCAAGUCGAACGGAGUUUUAACGGAAGUUUCGGAUGGAAGUUAAGAACUAGUGGCGGACGGGGUUUUAGAACGCGUGGGUAACCUGCCUCAUACAGGGGGAUAACAGUUAGAAAUGACUGCUAACACCGCAUAAUAUAGUGAAACCGCAUGAUUUUGCUAUCAAAUAUUUAUAGGUAUGAGAUGGGCCCGCGUCUGAUUAGCUAGUUGGUGGGGUAAAAGCCUACCAAGGCGACGAUCAGUAGCCGGCUUGAGAGAGUGACCGGCCACAUUGGGACUGAGACACGGCCCAAACUCCUACGGGAGGCAGCAGUGGGGAAUAUUGGACAAUGGGGGAAACCCUGAUCCAGCGAACCGCCGCGUGAGUGAAGAAGUAUUUCGGUAUGUAAAGCUCUAUCAGCAGGGAAGAUAAUGACAGUACCUGACUAAGAAGCCCCGGCUAACUACGUGCCAGCCGCAGC